UACGUAGGGUGCAAGCGUUAAUCGGAAUUACUGGGCGUAAAGCGUGCGCAGGCGGUUUUGUAAGUUUGUCGUGAAAUCCCCGGGCUCAACCUGGGAAUGGCGAUGAAGACUGCAAGGCUAGAAUCUGGCAGAGGGGGUAGAAUUCCACGUGUAGCAGUGAAAUGCGUAGAGAUGUGGAGGAAUACCGAUGGCGAAGGCAGCCUCCUGGGCCAACACGUGACGCUCAUGCACGAAAGCGUGGGGAGCAAACAGG
rnacentral:rRNA from 1 species